rnacentral:rRNA from 1 species
UGCUUAACACAUGCAAGUCGAACGGGAAACCUUUUAUUGAAGCUUCGGCAGAUUUAAAUUGUUUCUAGUGGCGGACGGGUGAGUAACGCGUGGGUAACCUGCCUUAUACAGGGGGAUAACAGUCAGAAAUGACUGCUAAUACCGCAUAAGCGCACAGAGCUGCAUGGCUCGGUGUGAAAAACUCCGGUGGUAUGGGAUGGGCCCGCGUCUGAUUAGGCAGUUGGCGGGGUAACGGCCCACCAAACCGACGAUCAGUAGCCGGCCUGACAGGGCGACCGGUCACAUUGGGACUGACACACGGCCCAAACUCCUACGGGAGGCAGCAGGGGGGAAUAUUGCACAAAUGGGGGAAACCCUGAUGCAGCGACGCCGCGUGGGUGCUGUUGUGUUUCGGUGUGUGGGGCUCUCCCCGCCGGGUUGGUCUUGGCGGUUCCUGUCUGGGUGUCCCCGGCUCUCUUCGUGCCCGCCGCCGCGGUGUUUCGUGGGGGGCGCGCGUUGUCCGGCUUUUCUGGGUGUUGGGGGCGCGUCGGCGGCGGGGCUUGUCUGGUGUGGUGGCCCCGGGCUUCUCCCUGGGGCUGCUUUGGCCUCCGUCUGGCUCGUGUGCUCGGUGCGGUGGGCGGGUUUCCUCGUGUGGCGGUGGGGUGCGUCGUUUUUUGGGGGGGCGCCCGUGGCGGGGGCGGCUUGCUGGGCGGUGCCUGCCGUUGCGGCUCGUCGGCGUGGGGGGCCCUCAAAAUUUGUUGCCCUCGUNGUCCUCGCCGUCNNCGCCCCCCAAAGGUGUUGGGGAGCAAAGCUCUUCGGCGCCGCCGCAAACGCAUUAAGCAUUCCACCUGGGGAGUACGUUCGCAAGAAUGAAACUCAAAGGAAUUGACGGGGACCCGCACAAGCGGUGGAGCAUGUGGUUUAAUUCGAAGCAACGCGAAGAACCUUACCAGGUCUUGACAUCCCGAUGACCGGCCCGUAACGGGGCCUUCUCUUCGGAGCAUUGGAGACAGGUGGUGCAUGGUUGUCGUCAGCUCGUGUCGUGAGAUGUUGGGUUAAGUCCCGCAACGAGCGCAACCCUUAUCCUCAGUAGCCAGCAGGUCAAGCUGGGCACUCUGUGGAGACUGCCAGGGAUAACCUGGAGGAAGGUGGGGAUGACGUCAAAUCAUCAUGCCCCUUAUGAUCUGGGCUACACACGUGCUACAAUGGCGUAAACAAAGGGAGGCAAAGCCGCGAGGUGGAGCAAAUCCCAAAAAUAACGUCUCAGUUCGGACUGCAGUCUGCAACUCGACUGCACGAAGCUGGAAUCGCUAGUAAUCGCGAAUCAGAAUGUCGCGGUGAAUACGUUCCCGGGUCUUGCACUCACCGCCCGUCA